CUUAUGUAGUGACUCUAUAGUGACUGAAGCUGAGGUAACUGAGAGGAUAGCGGCUAGUUGCUGAAGAUUCAUAGCGCAAGAAAACCUUGAGAGGAAGCUGUCCACAACGAUAUGCGUUUCUGCGAGGACAUAGUUUUUGUCUUCGCGGCCCUCUGCAAGAAAGAAUGUGCCGUCAACUAUUGAUGCUGUUUACAAUAUCAGCUAAUGUCAAAAAGAUGCAACAUCACGACUGCAUGGCCAAGCAUACGUACUUUCUCAGCCAUCGGCGACAACGACACACCUGGCUCACCUGUACAUCAUGAAUGUGCGGACUGCGAUUAGUUUGAAC